rnacentral:rRNA from 1 species
GUGGGGAAUUUUGGACAAUGGGCGAAAGCCUGAUCCAGCCAUGCCGCGUGCAGGAUGAAGGCCUUCGGGUUGUAAACUGCUUUUGUACGGAACGAAAAGACUCCUUCUAAUAAAGGGGGUCCAUGACGGUACCGUAAGAAUAAGCACCGGCUAACUACGUGCCAGCAGCCGCGGUAAUACGUAGGGUGCAAGCGUUAAUCGGAAUUACUGGGCGUAAAGCGUGCGCAGGCGGUUAUAUAAGACAGAUGUGAAAUCCCCGGGCUCAACCUGGGAACUGAGUGUGUGACUGUAUAGCUAGAGUACGGUAGAGGGGGAUGGAAUUCCGCGUGUAGCAGUGAAAUGCGUAGAUAUGCGGAGGAACACCGAUGGCGAAGGCAAUCCCCUGGACCUGUACUGACGCUCAUGCACGAAAGCGUGGGGAGCAAACAGGAUUAGAUACCCGAGUAGUCC